AAAUAGACCAUUUCCCAGUUUCUAAUUUGCUACAGAGACAUUAUACAAUUUAGCUUAGCAGGGUGCACGGGCAUUCUAUCGAAAUUCGGAAAUGGCCUAUAUAUAUAUUGAAUUUGCCCAUAUUUAACAAUUAUUCGCCGAAGGCGAGGUGAUUGUCGGGGAAUAUUCGCCAAGACGAAGUCGAGGUGAAUAUUCCCCGAUAAUCACCGAGCCUGAGGCGAAUAAUUGUUUUAGUAUUUUUACAGAAGUCUUUUAUGUUUUUGGGACUGAAUUUAUUUUAAUUCCGCGUAUUCUUUCAUCAAUAACUUCCACAAAACGGCUAGCCGCCAUUUUGAAAAGUUCGGUUUUGUUAUAUUCACCUGUAGGUGAAUAUAACAGCUUAAUAGGUCAAAUUUGACCAAUCAAUGUGCAGGAUUUGUUAUGUUCACAUGUGCAAAAGUACUAAAUACUGGAUAUUAGACGGUUGCGAGGAGAUAUGGAUUUUAUGUUCAAGUGGGAAAAACAAUUAAUAUAUCACGAGUGAGCGCAGCGAACGAGUACUAGUGAGAUAUUGUUUUUGACACGAGAACAUAAAUCCAUAUCUUCUCGCUACCAUUUAAUGUUCUGUUCAUUAUAUGGACUUACUCUCAGAAUGACAAAAAUACACGCAAAGACGACAUGUAAAUAUUAAGCUGCGAAAGACUAGUAUAAAAGCGAUAUUUUUCAU
rnacentral:lncRNA from 1 species